rnacentral:misc_RNA from 1 species
UUUCCGUAGGUGAACCUGCGGAAGGAUCAUUCAUAAUAAAGUGUUUUAUGGCACUUUUUAAAAAUCCAUAUCCACCUUGUGUGCAAUGUUAGAUCUCGUCAAUCUUGGCGAGAUUUUUAUACAUCAACUCAUUCUUUAACUAAUUUGUCUGAAAAAUCUUAUGAAUACUUAAUUCAAAAUACAACUUUCAACAACGGAUCUCUUGGCUCUC